UAGAUACCGUACCUGCAGAUAGCAUCAGCUACAGUUUCAGCUGGUCGGCGCAGCUUUUUAGCCUUGCCUAUGCUGCUGGUGGUUCCUUGUCUUCACUCCAAAAAUAUCUACAAUGUAUACCAAAACCUAACAUGCUUGAAGAUGUAGAAGAUCCUCGCUAUCCAUCAACCUUCGCAGCUUCUUUUGCCUCACAAUUACCUCUGUCACAAGUCCUAUCAAACACCGUGCCUGAUUCUGGUGCAGCUGACAGCACUGGGGACACUUCGCCUCAAUUGAAGCUGUUAUUCAACCCUUAGACACAACCACUUGCCUCCUAAUUACCUGCUAUGAAAGAAAUUGCAUAUUGUGAAACCAAACAUGCUUGAAGAUGUAGGAGAUCCUCGCUAUCAAUCCACCUUCGCAGCUUCUUUUGCCUCACAAUUACCUCUGUCACAAGUUCUAUUAAACACCGUGCCUGAUUCUGGUGCAGAUGACAGCACUGGGGACACUUCGCCUCAAUUGAAGCUGUUAUACAACCCUUAGACACAACCACUUGCCUGCUAAUUACCUGCUAUGAAAGAAAUUACAUAUUGUGAGCUACUAGCAAAGGAACAACUUCAACACUGCAUCAAAUGGCUCGACCAAA